GUACACUCCUGCGGGAGGCAGCAGUGGGGAAUAUUGCACAAUGGGCGCAAGCCUGAUGCAGCCAUGCCGCGUGUAUGAAGAAGGCCUUCGGGUUGUAAAGUACUUUCAGCGGGGAGGAAGGCAAUACGGUUAAUAACCGUGUUGAUUGACGUUACCCGCAGAAGAAGCACCGGCUAACUCCGUGCCAGCAGCCGCGGUAAUACGGAGGGUGCAAGCGUUAAUCGGAAUUACUGGGCGUAAAGCGCACGCAGGCGGUCUGUCAAGUCGGAUGUGAAAUCCCCGGGCUCAACCUGGGAACUGCAUUCGAAACUGGCAGGCUUGAGUCUUGUAGAGGGGGGUAGAAUUCCAGGUGUAGCGGUGAAAUGCGUAGAGAUCUGGAGGAAUACCGGUGGCGAAGGCGGCCCCCUGGACAAAGACUGACGCUCAGGUGCGAAAGCGUGGGGAGCAAACAGGAUUAGAAACCCCUGUAGUCCCA
rnacentral:rRNA from 1 species